AUUGAACGCUGGCGGAAUGCUUUACACAUGCAAGUCGAACGGUAGAGGGGGCAACCCCUCGAGAGUGGCGAACGGGUGAGUAAUAUAUCGGAACGUGCCCAGUCGUGGGGGUUAACGUAGCGAAAGUUACGCUAAUACCGCAUACGAUCUACGGAUGAAAGCGGGGGAUCGCAAGACCUCGCGCGAUUGGAGCGGCCGAUAUCAGAUUAGGUAGUUGGUGGGGUAAAGGCUCACCAAGCCAACGAUCUGUAGCUGGUCUGAGAGGACGACCAGCCACACUGGGACUGAGACACGGUCCAGACUCCUACGGGAGGCAGCAGUGGGGAAUUUUGGACAAUGGACGCAAGUCUGAUCCAGCCAUUCCGCGUGCAGGAUGAAGGCCCUCGGGUUGUAAACUGCUUUUGUACGGAACGAAAAGGUUUCCAAUAAUACUGGGAGCUCAUGACGGUACCGUAAGAAUAAGCACCGGCUAACUACGUGCCAGCCGCCGCCGUAA
rnacentral:rRNA from 1 species